CUCAUCUUUUUUUUUUUAACCCUUUUUUGGGCAAGGGAAUCUCAUCCCAAUCUUGUCAUAGCACCUCUCAGCCCCAGUCGACUCGCCGGCAUCGGUGGUCCAUAAGGCUUCUUCCAAAAACAAAAGGGGAACUGAUGAAUUGCUGAGCAAUUCAAGAUUUCAGGUAGAUCAACUGUGGCCCACUUAAUGCCCAAUUUGUUGAGGCCCAUGCUUAAGAAAGCUGCCACUCUUUCUCUUGCAGAUAAGGCAAGCUACCUGCCUAGUAGCAGCUCACACAAUGACUUGUGAUGAGACACGAGCUAUGCUGGAGUCAGAGACGAUCGUUAAUACUACUAUGGAUCAAUCUGACAGACAGAGAUAAGUGAACAGAUUUUGAUAGGUUCAGUGUUCAGAGCUCCAGCUGAUAUCAACUGCUCAUCGACGUCAGUAGCUUGCUAGGUUUACUGCAGCAGGAGCAGGGGCAUGGAUGGCGAUGGAGCAUUCUUCUAUAUCAUCAGGCUUUCGUUUUGGGCGUUGCCUGAGAUUGCACCAUCAUGGAUUUGGAGGUGAGCUCACAUCGAAAGGAACCCCAGGUUUUUUUUCUCUCUGAAAAACACAACUUUUUUCUGUCAAGUAUGAUGGGAUGCUAUCAGUUGGCCUAACAGGCUCGUGAAAGAGAUGUUUUUUAGGCACAAUCAUUUGGGAGAUGAGAUGAUCUUAACUUAAGCUUCUCAUUGUCAUCUGAAAAUCUUGAGGAGAAAGCAAAUGUAUGUU